rnacentral:rRNA from 1 species
GCAUAUCAAUAAGCGGAGGAAAAGAAACCAACAGGGAUUGCCCUAGUAACGGCGAGUGAAGCGGCAACAGCUCAAAUUUGAAAUCUGGCUUUCGGGCCCGAGUUGUAAUUUGUAGAGGAUACUUUUGAUGCGGUGCCUUCCGAGUUCCCUGGAACGGGACGCCAUAGAGGGUGAGAGCCCCGUCUGGUUGGAUGCCAAAUCUCUGUAAAGUUCCUUCGACGAGUCGAGUAGUUUGGGAAUGCUGCUCUAAAUGGGAGGUAUAUGUCUUCUAAAGCUAAAUAUUGGCCAGAGACCGAUAGCGCACAAGUAGAGUGAUCGAAAGAUGAAAAGCACUUUGAAAAGAGAGUUAAAAAGUACGUGAAAUUGUUGAAAGGGAAGCGUUUAUGACCAGACUUGGACUUGGUUAAUCAUCUGGGGUUCUCCCCAGUGCACUUUUCCAGUUCAGGCCAGCAUCAGUUUUCGCCGGGGGAUAAAGGCUUCGGGAAUGUAGCUCUCUUCGGGGAGUGUUAUAGCCCGUUGUGUAAUACCCUGGCGGAGACUGAGGUUCGCGCUUCUGCAAGGAUGCUGGCGUAAUGGUCAUCAACGACCCGUCUUGAAACACGGACCAAGGAGUCGUCUUCGUAUGCGAGUGUUCGGGUGUCAAACCCCUACGCGUAAUGAAAGUGAACGCAGGUGAGAGCUUCGGCGCAUCAUCGACCGAUCCUGAUGUUCUCGGAUGGAUUUGAGUAAGAGCAUACGGGGCCGGACCCGAAAGAAGGUGAACUAUGCCUGUAUAGGGUGAAGCCAGAGGAAACUCUGGUGGAGGCUCGCAGCGGUUCUGACGUGCAAAUCGAUCGUCAAAUAUGGGCAUGGGGGCGAAAGACUAAUCGAACCUUUCUAGUAGCUGGUUUCCG